CAGUCGCCACGGUAAUACGAAGGGUGCAAGCGUUAAUCGGAAUUACUGGGCGUAAAGCGUGCGUAGGCGGUUUGUUAAGUCUGUUGUGAAAUCCCCGGGCUCAACCUGGGAAUGGCAAUGGAUACUGGCAAGCUAGAGUGUGUCAGAGGAUGGUGGAAUUCCCGGUGUAGCGGUGAAAUGCGUAGAGAUCGGGAGGAACAUCAGUGGCGAAGGCGGCCAUCUGGGACAACACUGACGCUGAGGCACGAAAGCGUGGGGAGCAAACAGGAUUAGAGACCCCCGUAGUCCCUGUCUCUUAUAC
rnacentral:rRNA from 1 species